CCGCCUCAGCGAUAUAUGGGCGGGGGCCACGGCUAUUUACAAUCGAAGGUCUUUGGUUUCGUUUCGUGGUGCUCUUGUAAUAAUUCACACAAGAAAACCAACCCUAACUUUACUUUCUUUCUAUCCCCUCCCACCACAUCUCACGAUGGAAUUCUCUGCCGCCGACUUUGAAAAGCUUGUGAUGUUCGAGCACGCUCGCAAAGCUUGUGAGGCUCAAAUUUUCUGCAGUGGGGUGGAGCAUUGCUUGAACUUGCUCAGUUCCAGCCUAUUCCUGAGGCGAAGCUGAUGUUAGAUGAUGCUGAUGCAGCAAUCACUAGGUGGAGGUGGUGGAGGAGGAGGUCCCGAAGCUUCCUCAAAUGCUAGCGGCGGUAAGAAGAAGAAUAAAAGAAGAAGAACAAUGGCUUCACUUACGAUGUAUGUGGUUGGAUCAUUAUCGCUUGUGGGAUUGUUGCAGGUUUUUCAGAUCUGGAAGACUUCUGGGCUAGAAGACUUCCAGACGACUUCCAGGAAGUUUUAUGACGGAGUCUUCUCCCAUGUCUCUCUUUCAUAAUAGAUCUGAG